AUGAAGAAGCCUUUAAAUGAAAUCUUAUCUAUGAGUUUGUCAGUUAUAUGCUCACAUUGAGUAUCAAGACACGUUAGGACCUCUUGCCACUGGCUUUUUUGAUGAGCUCUGGAGACUGCCCAACUUUGGCUACACUUUUCAAAGAAACUUAUGCUGAAAUCAGAGGCAGUGUAAUACUAGGUAAGCUAUACAUUAAUUCUUCUGUGAUGUGAGCCUGAAUAAACUGAGAUGUAGGCUUCAAAGAAGAUGAUUGAAUGGUUUGGUCUAGGAAAGACACAGGGCACUUGUCCCAUCUGCACAAGCGCAGGGAGUUUCUGAUGCUUGGCAGCCUCCCUUGAGAGCUGAUUCGAGCAGAACAGUUAAACUACAAAGCAGUUAUCACAACAUUACACCCAAUGACUAACUGAGGAUCCUGGACAGAGCAGGAGGAGUGUGCGGAGGUGGAGGUCAGAAGUACUGCUUUGCAGAGCCCGUGAUGGAUAUGUAGAAUAGGUUUGCAAAUGAAGGCACUGGAAUCCAGCCUCUGACAUUUACUGCUGCAAGAACUGAGUAACUAUGAAACAGAGCUAUAGUUAGCCAUUUUUCCUGACAACUGGAGACAGUUUUCGUUCUUACACACACCCCUCUUAUGCCUUUUCUUGGCAUGACUUUGGUCUCCUCUGAUAAAGAACUGGUUUGAAAUAUGACAGCUAGACUGCGAGUUUUAAGCCGAGACCUCUUCCGUGACAGGUGCUGAUGGGCUCUGCUAUCUGGGCUCACUCUGUGAAGAAUAAUGGCUUGUGAAAGGAAGGUUACAAAUAAGGUCAUGAAGCAGCUCAGGAAGCCUUGCAUUUCAUGUCAAGAAUCUUAAAGGUUAUAGGAGGGCUGUAAAAACUUUCCUCUAGGGCUGCUGACUGACUGAUCAGCAGCAUGAUUAUAGCCUGAUUUUGAUAAAUCAUGUUCAUCUACCGUUUGUGAAAGGCUUUAAAAGCACUGUUUGUGAGUCAUGUGUUCCUGUGAAAUACUUUAUUGAAUCCAUAGGAAAAAAAGCAGCUUAUGCCUUCGUGUAUGUCCUGCUGGCAUACAUACUGCAUGGUAGCUGGCCCGUGCCAUCCAAAAGCAGGACCUUCACCUUGGGGAGCUGCCCAGACUGAAAGUGCCACACUCAAGGGAGUCACCUCUAGUUUUCUGACUCACCAUGGACAUCCCAGGUCCCUAAGGGCCCUUUAGCCCCUGAAUCCUGGAGCAAAGCCGUUUUGCCUAACAAGUAGGCAGUAGAUUUUGUCUGUGGGAACUGGCUGGUGGAGAAUACAGGGAGUUGCAGACAGCUGAGCUUACUCACACAGGCUGAGGGGUUUAUUGUAGGGCUUAAAGAUGCUUCUUUUGUAAGCUGGGUAUGAGAGGAGGGAGAGGAAUCAGUUUAAAAUUAAAAUGAGGAUUUUUCAACUCAUCCUUAAUAUUUAUAAGGCUCCUUUUGCGUUACAGACAAAUCCUCAAAGAGGGAAAGCUGCUUGUCCUUAGUUCUUGUGCCUUUAGUUCAGCUUCUCAUUGUUUAUACUACUCUAAGCAAAAUAACUGUUCUGGAAAUGCAGUCAUUUACAAAAUCCAGCCCACUAGGCCUUAAACAGCAGAGACAUGUCCUGCUAUGUUUGUUCCUUUGUUGUUGCUAUGGCAUUACCACACAUUUUUCCAUGUAGGAAAGGAAAUCCCAUGGAGACCAGAUAAUAAAGGCUUGAAUUUCCAGGGCACACUGUCUGUCUCGCCUCAUGACCUGUUUGACACCCUCUUUCACCAAACCUGCAUUCACUGAACCCAAAUAAACAGCCAGCCGUCAAAGGAAGUAUUUUAAAAGGAUUGCUCAUGGUUAGCCUUGAUGAAAUAUACACUGGAAAACCUGCAUUUUAAUCACAUUUGGAGUUCUGCAUUUCAAAAAUGGUUUUGUUUAACUACAUCAGACUUGUCAUUCAGGGAAGUUUCCUUCCGUAGGAUGACUGCAUUUAAAAGUCAAGUUAACCAAACCCAGACAAAUUUCCCAGGAGGCUGUAAAAAGCCAGACAAGUGUCUCACACACUCAGUACCUGACCUCUGUGCUGUACCAGGUGUAUCUGCCUGCUAUCAGCAAGAGGCCAAGAUGCUGCAUGUUUAUACAACAUCACCAAAUCAAAGUGGAGUGUCAUGUCAUGAGGUUUCAUCAGAAUAUCAUCACUGUAUGUUUGUUGUUGGGACAACCUUGGCUUUGACUCUCCACUUGACUUGACACUGGUUUAUAAAGAUUGAUCCUGUUUGCACACAAUCAUUGUGCCUUGCUUUAUCUUAGAAAUAGCUAUUUCAUGGUGCUCCCUAAAAUUAUACUUUACAUGUAUAUUAAAAUUGAUGUGUAAAUACAAGUUUGUAAAAUGCUCUGGGACUUUAAUUCUAUGUGAAUUUUCAUUCAGGCCAAUAUAGUAAUUGUCAUACUCUAAUAUUCAACUAAUUUUAAUGUAUAUCUAAUUAUAAUUUGUCACCUGUUGAUGCAGUUAUUAGGGAAGAAUGUGCAGUUCACAACUGACCAAAGGGCAAAUGUCUCAGCCUCAGGAUUGUUCUGAUGCAAAAUGUCAUGGUGUAUUUUGAGCCAAACCUCUUGGACUUCAUUUAUUGUGUCUUGCACUCCUGUCAUUUCUGUGUAACAUAAUGCAAAGGCACUGGCCUAGCCAUCCAGGCAUAUUAAAAGUGCCUUGUUUCCUCUCAUCUUUCAAAACCACAUAUACAUAUUGCCUACAGGAUACUGCAGCCAGAAAACACAACCAGCUAGCAAAGGAUAAUCUGCCACAGGCAACAUACACCUUGUGGCCUUCCAAAUUCUUCAGACAACACAGGAAAACAAACAGCAGCCUUACAGACUUAAUGGACUUCUAAUGGAUUUGAUGGAUUCUGCAUCAGCAGUUUCUAAUGGAACAUCUAAAGAAGACAGUUUCCCUUCCCAUAGAGAUUCCUAGAGGAUGUGAAGUUGGAGUGCAAAGGCUCCAAUUUUUAACACUUCAAUGCUGUGGAAGAGAACUCAUGGUAAGACUGAAAGUCUUCAUCUCUUCUGAAAAGUGACUGAGUUUCCAGGAGAUAGUAAGUGAGCUGUCUCAUACCACAGAACUCAAUAGUAGCAAAAGGCACCAGUAAACCCCAUGAAGUUCGUGAUCUCCUUGAUCCAUUUAGCUCAACUCCCCAGAAUUGCAGAAACUGGGGCUUGAAGUCUGCUCCCAUGCCCAGAGAGAGGCUAUGGUUAUAGAUGGGGAGUUGUUGUGCAGUUAUCAAAAAGAAGACAAAGUCCAAAAUGCUUUUGUUGAAUACAGCUAGGCAGCAAUGGUAAUAGAUUCCUCCUAGUUACAUAUCCUUGACUUUGUUAUUUUUGCAUAAUCUUCUAACUUCAGCUAUUGAUAAAUAAAUUGGUUUACAAACCAGAGUGUAAAUCACCAUUCACUGCUGAGCUACUAUUGUGCCUCUCAUUUGUAAGGCAGCUUGCAAGCUUGUUUUUUUAAUCAUUUUGGCUUGACAUUUUGUUUUCCUGUUAUUAUUUAUGAGCUGUAUCUUAUGAAUGGAUUAUGUAAAAUAGUUUAAUUCCAGUUGUUGCAAUUUCUCAGAUUCCAUCACACAAAAGCUUGCUUUGAGCAGAACACUCAGGUCCAGACUUUGUUCUCAGUUGUGCUGAUACAAAUUAGACCAUCAUCCACUGAGAUCAAAAGGGCUUUGCUCAGAUUUAUAACCGUUAGGGGCAUUUAGGAAAAAUUCUGAGGAAUGCUCUUUUUAGAGUAUGCAAAAGCACAUUGCUGCUUCCA